AUCAGUUUCCACCAGGAAAGCAACCAAUAGUCCUUGCAGGGGACUAGUGCCAUCAUAAUUAGCCACUCUGGACUCCUCCAGGCACAGGCCCAGGUGGUACAGGUAAAGGCUGCUACACAGGUGGGCAGGCUUUUGUGGAGGCCUCUUCAGAGUGGAGGGAAACUGCAUUACAGGUAAAGCCCCUUGGACCUUGUGAGAGGAAAAGACAAUGAGGAUCACAACCCCAGGAAACUCAGCAGAAUGAAUCCAUUGGGUGUGACAAAUUAAACGCAAAGGGAGAGAAUCCAACAAAAAGAAAAAGUCAUGACAAGGCUUUUAAAAC
rnacentral:lncRNA from 1 species